GACGAACGCUGGCGGCGUGCCUAAUACAUGCAAGUCGAACGCACUCUCGUUUAGAUUGACGGAGUUUGCUCCUGAUUGAUAAACAUUUGAGUGAGUGGCGGACGGGUGAGUAACACGUGGGUAACCUGCCCUAAAGUGGGGGAUAACAUUUGGAAACAGAUGCUAAUACCGCAUAAAACCUAACACCGCAUGGUGUAGGGUUGAAAGAUGGUUUCGGCUAUCACCUUAGGAUGGACCCGCGGUGCAUUAGUUAGUUGGUGAGGUAAAGGCUCACCAAGACCGUGAUGCAUGGCCGACCUGAGAGGGUAAUCGGCCACACUGGGACUGAGACACGGCCCAGACUCCUACGGGAGGCAGCAGUAGGGAAUCUUCCACAAUGGACGAAAGUCUGAUGGAGCAACGCCGCGUGAGUGAAGAAGGUUUUCGGAUCGUAAAACUCUGUUGUUGGAGAAGAAUGUAUCUGAUAGUAACUGAUCAGGUAGUGACGGUAUCCAACCAGAAAGCCACGGCUAACUACGUG
rnacentral:rRNA from 1 species